GAUGAACGCUGGCGGCGUGCCUAAUACAUGCAAGUCGAGCGAAGUGGGGACGGGUGAGUAACCCGUGGAUAACCUCCUAUAAGACUGGGAUAACUUCGGGAAACCGUAGCUAAACCGGACACCUAUAGAUGGAUCCGCGCUGCAUUGGCUAGUUGGUAAGGUAACGGCUUACCAAGGCAACGAUGCAUAGCCGGCCUGAGAGUGUGUUCGUCAACACUGGAGCUGAGCGACGGUCCAGACUCCUACGGGAGGCAGCAGUGGGUAAUCUGCCGCAAUGGGGGCAGGCCUGACGGAGCAACGCCGCGUGAGUGAUGAAGGUCUUCGGAUCGUAAAACUCUGUUGUUAGGGAAGCGGUUCCUAAGCAGAACGCCACGGCUAACUACGUGCCAGCAGCCGCGGUAAUAC
rnacentral:rRNA from 1 species